rnacentral:misc_RNA from 1 species
GAAAUGCGAUAAGUAAUGUGAAUUGCAGAAUUCCGUGAAUCAUCAAAUCUUUGAACGCACAUUGCACUCAUUGGUAUUCCGAUGAGUACGCCUGUUUGAGAAUCAGUUUAAUCUCACCACCUAGGUGGUGGACUUGGGACUUUUUGCUAACCGCAAGAGACCUUAAUGUCAUUUGUGGCCUUGAUGAAGAAACACUCAACCAGAAGGCAUGAUUAAUGAACCUAGUUCUUUAGUGCUGACAUGGCUGUUUGCGCCUUUUUCAUUGGAAACAGAUAUUAAACACGAGGGGAAACCCUUAAGACUUGAUCUCAAAUCAGGCGAGACUACCCGCUGAACUUAA